CAGAGAUUAGUUUAAAAAAAAUUUUAAUUUUGGAGAUUAAAGAUGAGAGGAUUUUCUUAUCUCUGA
rnacentral:tRNA from 1 species